AGGGGGGGUGUUAUGUUUGCGAUGUAUGUCUUGGUACCUAAGGUGGAAGAAGAGGAGGAGGAGGAGGAGAACAGGAGGAGGAGGAGGAGGAGGGUGUGUGUUAUUGAAUGGGAGCGAAAAAGCCUCCUCGGGACGGCGCGGAGGCUGAACCCGGCUUGCAGUGCCUCCUCUCUCGGCUGGGCCCAGUGCCCCGAGCAGCCGGUGAGAUCGAGACCCCCUCCCCCUCCGGCUAGCAGGUAGUAGAGAAGCAUGGAGUGGCCAGAAAAAUGUCCACAGCUCAAAUAUAGAGAAGUCUUAUUGACAGCAGCUUGGAAACAUUAUGGGACGUAUUGCAACAACUCCCACCCCCCAGCAGUGACUUAAGCUGCAAAACUACUAAAAGAAAUUGUAAUGGAAAACCAUGAGGAGAUAUCAGGCAUUGAAACAAAUAUGAAAUAAAGAAGAACUGCUGUUAUCGAAAACUUUUUGUUAGUUGAUUUGAUAAGGUGUGCUGCUUGCAAAACCAAGCUAAUAUAAUUCCAUGUGCUACUUUUUGUUUUGUGUCGCCAUAAUCUGCUUGUGAGUUUCCUCAUAGCCAUUUCACAUAGGACACUGCACAUUUCCUCACAACUAGCACCACUGAACUCAAUAGAAUUUACUUCUGAGUAGACGUGUACACACCCACACACCACUUAGAUAAUGGGAGACUAGGAAAGUGUAAUGAUACCUUCUCUGGCUGCAGAGCACUACUGGCAUUGCUUUAAAUGACUCUCUUUGCUUGUGCAUUUACUCAGAUUAUGAUAGGGCAGUUCAUUGUGGGAACAAUACAAACUAGAACGUAAAAUUGUACUAUUCUAAAGUGGAAGGAAACCACAUAGGUUAUAGUAAUAAAGACUUCUUUUUUAAAGAACUUGAUGGAAUUAGCUGUACGUUGCUUGAACUUUCUGUUAUGGGUCAGAUUCAGGAAGAUAAAUGAAUCAGUAAUGUGGCAUAGUAUUGUAACUAUCUUGAUUGUAUAAGCAGCAGAGCAAGUGAGGCAACACAGUAUCUUUACUAGAAAUCAGACAUUUUACAGAUAUUUGAAACAGUGAAAGGGAAGUUCCUGGUGUUCCAAACAAUAACCACCUUCUUUUAAAAAGAUGGUAUUACAAGUACCAGCUAACCUUAGACUAGUAGAAUGGAGAGUACUUUAAAGCAAAGGAGAGGGAGAGAGAGAGAGAAAAGUAGGGAAUAUGCUAAUUGAACUGUUUGUCCAUGCCUGAGGAAUCAGAUUACUUCCCCACCCCUGUGCCCUACCAACCUAACAGAAGGCAGCAAAACAAGUUGUAACAAAAACACUUUUAAGCAAGGAAACAGAAAGAAGUGUAAGAUCAGCCAGGCUCCUAAUACAUGCAAUUAUUUUUGCAUGCUCUCCUCUUGAGUAAAAGGGCUUCACCUGGACUUACACUAUCAGUGCCAAAGGACCAGAAGCAUUUGGAGAGCAAUGGAAGAGAUGGUCAUGUGGAUCAGCAUCUGUACAAUAAGCAAGCCCUUGGGUGCAUAUGCAUCUUCUUCUGCCUUGUUCCAAUUAAGGGAAGAGCCUGUAACCUAGACUCACACAAUCAACUCCCAGCUGUCAGAAGAUCAAUGUAUGGGCUACUCCUAUGAGGAUUCUUCUCUGUGCUGUGUUGGUGGGC